rnacentral:rRNA from 2 species
GUGGUGGAUUAGUGGCGAACCGGUGAGUAACACGUGAGUAACCUGCCCCUGACUCUGGGAUAAGCGUUGGAAACGACGUCUAAUACUGGAUAUGACUGCCGGCCGCAUGGUCUGGUGGUGGAAAGAUUUUUUGGUUGGGGAUGGACUCGCGGCCUAUCAGCUUGUUGGUGAGGUAAUGGCUCACCAAGGCGACGACGGGUAGCCGGCCUGAGAGGGUGACCGGCCACACUGGGACUGAGACACGGCCCAGACUCCUACGGGAGGCAGCAGUGGGGAAUAUUGCACAAUGGGCGAAAGCCUGAUGCAGCAACGCCGCGUGAGGGAUGACGGCCUUCGGGUUGUAAACCUCUUUUAGUAGGGAAGAAGCGUAAGUGACGGUACCUGCAGAAAAAGCACCGGCUAACUACGUGCCAGCAGCCGCGGUAAUACGUAGGGUGCAAGCGUUGUCCGGAAUUAUUGGGCGUAAAGAGCUCGUAGGCGGUUUGUCGCGUCUGCUGUGAAAUCCCGAGGCUCAACCUCGGGCUUGCAGUGGGUACGGGCAGACUAGAGUGCGGUAGGGGAGAUUGGAAUUCCUGGUGUAGCGGUGGAAUGCGCAGAUAUCAGGAGGAACACCGAUGGCGAAGGCAGAUCUCUGGGCCGUAACUGACGCUGAGGAGCGAAAGCGUGGGGAGCGAACAGGAUUAGAUACCCUGGUAGUCCACGCCGUAAACGUUGGGCGCUAGAUGUAGGGACCUUUCCACGGUUUCUGUGUCGUAGCUAACGCAUUAAGCGCCCCGCCUG